AAGUCGUAACAAGGUAACCGUAGGUGAACCUGCGGUUGGAUCAUUACCAAAUCCAAACCUGGUGCUUUGGGGAAGCGCCUGCCCGCCCUGUGCGGACGGGGGCCCCCCUCAGUGCCUUCCACCCCAUGUGCAAUGUUAUACUGGGGGCGCGGCUCGCGUCGUGUCCCCUUUCACAACCAUGUAUUUCUCCAAUCACCUGACGUUGACACUCGUGGGGUCUCCCCAUUAGAGCUUAACGAAAAAACAACUUUUGACAACGGAUCUCUUGGCUCUC
rnacentral:misc_RNA from 1 species